rnacentral:rRNA from 1 species
AUGAACGCUGGCGGCGUGCCUCAUCCAUGCAAGUCGAGCGAACAGACGAGGAGCUUGCUCCUCUGACGUUAGCGGCGGACGGGUGAGUAACACGUGGAUAACCUACCUAUAAGACUGGGAUAACUUCGGGAAACCGGAGCUAAUACCGGAUAAUAUAUUGAACCGCAUGGUUCAAUAGUGAAAGACGGUUUUGCUGUCACUUAUAGAUGGAUCCGCGCCGCAUUAGCUAGUUGGUAAGGCAACGGCUUACCAAGGCGACGAUGCGUAGCCGACCUGAGAGGGUGAUCGGCCACACUGGAACUGAGACACGGUCCAGACUCCUACGGGAGGCAGCAGUAGGGAAUCUUCCGCAAUGGGCGAAAGCCUGACGGAGCAACGCCGCGUGAGUGAUGAAGGUCUUCGGAUCGUAAAACUCUGUUAUUAGGGAAGAACAAAUGUGUAAGUAACUAUGCACGUCUUGACGGUACCUAAUCAGAAAGCCACGGCUAACUACGUG